rnacentral:tRNA from 1 species
UUUAGAGUGCCCGAGAUUUAGGGAACAUCUUGAUGAGAUGAAUACGGCGUUAUGCCCUCUAAAGCC